ensembl:snoRNA
CUGCAUCCACUGAUAGACCUUGAACAGUCUGCUGUUGUUCUUUUGGUUUGCACUAGGAUGCGAAAGAAAAGUCCCUGCGCUUUCUGUCUGUCUGUGUGGCAGCCCAGAUUGAAUAGGGGAAUACACCU